GUUUUUUUCCUCCGAUUCCCGCAAAUCUCUCUUCCUCCUCUCUCUCUCUCUCUCCUCCCCUCCCCUCGCGGCCUCUCCUGUUCGUCAUUCCAUCGCCGGUGGUUGGAGCUGCCGACGCCCGGCGAGCCAUCGAGUUAUUGAGGACGCAACACUCGUACUCUUUCACCACGCAAAGCAUCACAACCAAAAGCCCUAAGCCAGCAGCAUCGCAAUUCAAAAGCCCAAAACCACCGUAAGAGUCUUUUUUCGCAACCAGGGCUAAAGCGUUGAUAUUCUUGGACACAGAUCCGGUUGAUAAUAUUUACACAUGAGGCUUGAUUCCUUUUAAUGACAACAUAGUGGAGGCAUUUAGAGGCUUUUGUGAUUGAAGCAAAGUGAGCUGCUAAAGAAUGAAAUCAUGGACAAGGACCCUCAAAUCUUGAAACUGCCAAUAUCGCCUCCACACAUUCAGGCGGAAGCAGGCUUGAAGAUAAUAGGAGUAUUAUUGCCUCUUGGUGCCUGUCACUCUUCCUGUUCUUGUGGUAGCUGUUUAUUUGCACUGGCUGAGCAUGAAAGCCUUCAAGCAUGCAUGAGAUGAGAUCUGUUACUAUGGUUUCAUGUUGCAUUGGAACACACCCAACUAUUGUAGAUGCUGUCAAAAGUAUGAAACACAGGUAGCCCUUUGAUGGCCUUUCAACAUAAGCCUCAUCUGUGCAUAGAAGAGCCUCUGGUUGCAAGAGGUCUAGAGUUUACUACCUGGUGGCACAUCUUUUGCUGUUACUUCCAAGCAAUUGGGAACUUUUUCUUGACGGACAAUGAUGGAGUAUUGACAGCUUUACACUGGGAAUGAUAGAUCUGCACCUCCUGGUUUGGCAAGUCUGGCGCCUGCAACAACAUUGGUGGUUCAAAUGGACGGACCUGGUUUCUGGGACCAACAUGUGUGAUGAGAUAGGGUAUUAUUAUUUAGUAAGAUGAAAUAACGAACGACCAAAAAGAAUCUUGUCGGAAUUAAACUUUUAACUGCAUGUUCAAACAUAGGUUCUUUGUUUCACAUUAGCAGUCAUAUUUUGUACAGUUUUAUUAUUCGGCUGUUUGGUUAAAUAAUUGACUUAUUCUCCUUGGUUGGAACUAUUCAAUUGGGAAACUCUAUUAGGAAAUUAGACCAGCUUUUAGUGGUUAAACGUUUCUA